UGUCUCCUCCACUUCUUGCAAAGGAAUUGGAUUCAGCCCGCUUUCACCAGCGGGCUUUUUUUU
rfam:Janthinobacterium sp. HH01 Jab_2c, whole genome shotgun sequence.